rnacentral:rRNA from 1 species
GACGAACGCUGGCGGCGUGCUUAACACAUGCAAGUCGAGCGAGAAACCUUCGGGUUUCUAGCGGCGGACGGGUGAGUAACACGUGGGUAACCUGCCUCAAAGAGGGGGAUAGCCUUCCGAAAGGAAGAUUAAUACCGCAUAAUAUUACAGUUUCGCAUGAAGCAGUAAUUAAAGGAGUAAUCCGCUUUGAGAUGGACCCGCGGCGCAUUAGCUAGUUGGAGAGGUAACGGCUCACCAAGGCAACGAUGCGUAGCCGACCUGAGAGGGUGAUCGGCCACAUUGGAACUGAGACACGGUCCAGACUCCUACGGGAGGCAGCAGUGGGAAUAUUGCACAAUGGGCGAAAGCCUGAUGCAGCAACGCCGCGUGAGUGAUGAAGGUCUUCGGACUGUAAAGCUCUGUCUUUUGGGACGAUAAUGACGGUACCUGAGGAGGAAGCCACGGCUAACUACGUGCCAGCCGCCGCGGUAA